UACGUAGGGUGCAAGCGUUGUCCGGAAUUAUUGGGCGUAAAGAGCUCGUAGGCGGUUUGUUGCGUCGGCUGUGAAAUCCCGAGGCUCAACCUCGGGUCUGCAGUCGAUACGAGCAAACUAGAGUGUUGCAGGGGAGACUGGAAUUCCUGGUGUAGCGGUGAAAUGCGCAGAUAUCAGGAGGAGCACCGGUGGCGAAGGCGGGUCUCUGGGCAACAACUGACGCUGAGGAGCGAAAGCGUGGGGAGCAAACAGG
rnacentral:rRNA from 1 species